rnacentral:rRNA from 1 species
UGGGGAAUCUUGCGCAAUGGGGGCAACCCUGACGCAGCCAUACCGCGUGAGUGAUGAAGGUCUUCGGAUUGUAAAGCUCUUUCGGCGGGGACGACGAUGACGGUACCCGCAAAAGAAGUCACGGCUAACUUCGUGCCAGCAGCCGCGGUAAUACGAAGGUGGCGAAUGUUGCUCGGAUUCACUGGGCGUAAAGCGUCGGUAGGUGGCUUGCUAAGUCAGAGGUGAAAGCCCCGCGCUCAACGUGGGAACGGCCUUUGAAACUGGCGAGCUUGAAGGCAAGAGAGGAUGGCGGAAUAUCUGGUGUAGAGGUAAAAUUCAUAGAUAUCAGAUGGAACACCCAAGGCGAAGGCAGCUAUCUGGCUUGAUCUUGACACUGAGCGACGAAAGCGUGGGGAGCAAA